AUGAAAGCCUUGUUCUGGAACGUUAGGGGUUUCGCCGCUAGGGGGCAUCGAGACCAGAUUCAUGAUUUGGUUUGUGGGGAGAACAUUGACAUUUUAGGGCUAGUGGAAACGUUUAAGGAAUCCUUCUCUCCUUCUGAGUUGUGUGCAGUUGCAGGCAUGAACAGAUUUGACUGGCAUUUUCUUCCUGCCUCGGGCCACUCUGGGGGUAUUCUGAUUGGUUCUAAACUACACGUUUUUGACUUCAUCACUUUUGAUCAUGGCAUAUUUUGGGCUAGUGUGGUGGUUCAUCACCGAUAGCUGAAUACUCUAUGGGAGUGUCUAGUGGUCUAUGGUCCCGCUGAUCAUUCACUUGCGCCUAUUUUUCUUGAUGAACUUUCUAAUAAGAUCGAUUCUUGCAAUAUUCCUUUAUUGAUUGGUGGCGACUUCAAUCUCUUG
rnacentral:rRNA from 1 species